CUGGCCUUCCUCGACGGCAUCGAAUCUCAAUGCCCUCUUUGGAUCGAGCUGUCUUCGCCUCAGGAGGUACGCUUCUUUGCCAUGAAAUCGUGUAAUUGCUUCUUUUUCUUCUGCCCUUGGUAUGAUCGUUGUAUUAAUCGAACGGUGUGAGCUUUCUUCUUGUACGCUUCUGUUGGUUUGGGGUUUGCGUCGGGUUAUGAGAUUCUUUGGGUUUUGAUUUUUCGUGGAAUGUUUUAAGUCCGUGGCAAGAUCGAAAGCCCUCAUGAUUGUUUAUUGAUAUGAUGUUUUGACAUUUUUGGGUUCCCGUGUGUUGUCAUAUGGAAAUAUGGUAGUUAUUUGGUUUUGAUUGAUGCAUUUGUAGUUGCUUUGUAAUUAUGUGGUUGAUUGUUUUGUUUCUUUUUUCAAUUUAAUGAAAUAUGCCGUACAUGAAGCAUGAAAAACCAAACUUUUAUGAUAUCUGAAGCUUUAGAUUAUGCUCAGUUUGAAUUUUUGGAGCGUAUUCUUUCGUUUGUUUGAAUAGGCUGCUUUAAUUUUUUUAAUUAAAAAAAAAGGAAUUGGUGCAUAAUCUAGCUGAUUCAAGAAGCAGAGACUGAGGGAGAUAAAGGGAUGGUAGAACUAGGAGUUAUUUUUACAAAGUUGGUUGCCGACUGUUUUAGAGUCCUAUACAUGCAAUACAGAUGGAUUCCUAAUAUUACUCAAAAAGCCAGGAUUUUUCCCCCUCCUCCUCAAGAGUUCUAUUGGAUGCUAGUUUUACUUGAUCUUUCUAUCAAAAUUGGAUGUUAAAGAAUAUGCAAGGCUCAUGGUUUCUUCUCUUGCUAGAGAACAAGCCGAGAUGCAUUUGUCAGUUUUGAUGGUGUAAGUUGUAAAAGAUAACUCAUGGUAUCUGCGUGUAAAUUUUGUUAUUUUGCCUUUGAUUGGGCAUUAUAUUUUUCAUUCUUAAGCUGAAUGAUGUCCACUUGACAGAAUCAGAGUGUCAGCCAUUUUCUACCACAUAAUGCCACUUUCUGUGAGUUUUAACUAGGUAUGCUUAUUAUUUAACUUCUAGUAUGCACUUCCUGAAGCCAGAAGAUCAGCUAUUAGUUUAGGAGCAUUUGGUUUCCAGGCUAACUUCUUGAAGGGAUUAACAAGGUCAUUUUUAUUAUAACUUGCUAUUCUAUAUGAUCAGGAGCCCCACUGAUGGCAGCUAAAUUGAAGAAGUGAAUAAAAUAUUGUAUGUCUGUACAAAGUAGGUGUUGCUCACAAUUUUCUUAUUGUGCUCUAUUGUCCUUUCCCUAUCUGAAUAUAUACACUUCCCUUCUAAUUUCUUUUUUCCCUAUCUGAAUAUAUACACUUACCUUCUAAUUUCUUUUACUCCUCUUUGAUAAAUUUGUGUUCACAUAUGAUAGGAAAGAUUGUUAUGUCAUGUACCCUUUAGAAUGAAGGAAAAAAAUUAUUAGAUAAUUGUAAGAUCAAACAUGCUCAUGAACAAUUAAGAUAGUUUUGAUUAGAGUAUAAAUGAGGGAAAACUGUUGAUGCAUCGGUUUAAAUGAGAGAAGCCAAUUAUGGUUAGUGAAAAGAAGAUCUAAGAGUAACAUUAGAAAUGAUAGAAGAAUAUUGGUGGUUUUUAAUUAGAUAGUGAUAUGCUCUCAAUACUCAACGGAGCUUGAUGGCGGAGGACAAGAUGCAUGUAACUGGCAUCAUUGUUGUUGACUAAUCAGACUAGUCCUGAUCUUUGGAAAAAAAAAAUUCUCAACUACUUAUGACUACUAAUCUAAUCUUGUGUAACAAUGGCCUGUUUUAGAUAUCAUAUGGGACAUAUUAUACUGAAAUUAUAGUGGGGUUGCACAGCUGUAUAAAAGUAAAGAGGACGUGCAUGGAGGAAAGGAUCAAGAAGAAAAGGAAAGUGAAAAAUGAUGGAAAAAUAUUUCUCAGUUGUCUCAAACAAAUUCUCCAAUCCAUUCAGUCGACCCUGUAAUUUCUUAGCAACUAGAGCUGGCAAUUGAUCCGUGAUUCUUGCAUAGAUUUUGCAAGGCAAUCCUUUGAUGCUGCUUCGACAAUUGCGAUGGAUUGUUUGUGUUUGUUACUGAAAUUGCUAACCACUUCUUUCAAUUUGUCUGUGAAUUACGGACUGCAGAUAAAUCUGUUUUUUUCUUUUUCAUUUUGAAGGUGAGUGGAGAGACAUUUGAGAGAGAGCUAUCUGGCAAGCAAAGUGCUUAUUACUCUAUCCUUUUCUAUGCAUCGUGGUGCCCGUUCUCAUCCAAUACUCGACCUAUGUUUGAUGCUCUUAGUUCCAUGUUUCCUCAAAUAAAACAUUUAUUAGUUGAAGAAUCAUCAGUCAUGCCAAGGUAUGCAGUACCAAAUUAUACAGGUUCAUUUGCCUUACUAAGAUAUGCAUCCAUGCUUUAUGGACAUUUUUAUUUCAUUUGAUAAAUUUUCACAUGCUAUCCAGUGUCCUCUCAAGAAAUGGUAUUCACAGCUUUCCAGCUGUAAUGCUGAUCAAUGGGACAACAAGGGUUCAAUAUCAUGGCUCAAGGGAUUUGACUUCCCUGGUCCAAUUCUACAAGAAAAAUACAGGUACAUUUCUUUGUCUGCAUUUGUUUUCUUCAAACUGUUCUACUUGUUUUGAGUAGUGGAAUCUAAUGUCCAUUUAUCAGCCAAAAUAUCUGAUGCAUAUGCGAAGCGAAUCCUUAUGAAAUUUCUCAGACUUCCAUUUUCUUGGUUAUAGAUCUAGGUCUGCCCUCUUGUGAAAAAAGUACUUACUUUUGAUCAUAUAGUACAUUUGGCUGUAAAAGAGCAGAUGAAGUGCCUUCUUUUUGACUUGAUUUAUCCAUUGAGGCCUUUGUUAUUCUUGAUCUUAUCACUUUACUACAUAUUUACAAUUGCAUGGCUGAGACACUAGGAACUAGAAGGUGGAAAAAUAUGAAAUGUUAAUUAUACCUGUAACUCUUUUCUAGUUUCUUUAUUUUGUUGCAUACUUAUCUUCUGCUAUUCUUAUACAGGUUUGAAUCCAGUCAUAUAUCUGGAGAUUGAACAGCUCAGUUCAGAACGUGUGAGGUCCCAUGUACCUCAUGUUGAGUCUGCAAGGGAGUUAAUAUCACAUGAACCUUACUUAACAUUCAGCAUAUUUUUCAUCUGUCUGAAGAUAAUUAUGUGCUUCUUUCCUGUGAUCUACUCCCGCAUCAAAGCUUUUUGGGUCUCACAUGCCUGGCCUCUGAACUCAAGGGUUCUUUGUGAAUCAAGUCAACUACUGGAGCAAGCGCUGCAUGUAAUUGAUGUUAAAAGGCUCUGGAGCAACCUUAGGCUCUGCAAUAAGACGAGGAACUUUCAGAAAGGGGCAAAUAAUGCCCGGGCUUGGGCAUCUUCGCUUGCUUCUGUCUCACUGAGCGAGUCAUCUUCCUCGAGACUGGCCCUCGUCGACUCGUAAUCUUCUCUUUUGAUCAUUGUGGUUAAAGAAGGAAAGCCUUUGGUGGAUUGAAUGUUCACCAUACUUUCAUAGAGCAACGUAGUUUGUUUUCCUCUAGCCGUGUAACUUUUCUUUCUCUUAACGUUAGGCAGAUGGGAAGCAAAUUACAUGUAAAUUUUUGAAUACGAAAUCUUUUUGUAUAUUAUUUACUGUGGCUGCAUUUUUAGGAAAAUGCAGAGUCCAUAGUUGUUGUUCAAUGUUAUCUUUCCUUCUGUAAACCCUUUUCAUGUCUGAAUAGUUCUGUUUAACUAUGAGCUAACAGUAGCUUUAUAGCCUUCACUUCAAGCUGAUUUUUCUUGUCUUCAAAAUCUUCCUGGAACAUCUUUGAAUAGUUAUGUUGCAGGUUGGCUUCAACUCCAGUGAUAUUUUGUGCAUCUGCUUGGGGAACGUGUUUGUUGGAAACACAGGUAAGUGAACCAGCUCUGUUCUAGGCAAGCAAUUUAGCUAUGGCAACUACGAGAUUGUUUACUUAAAACAUGCAUCUUUCUUUCUUUGUGCUGUUGCUUCACUGGGUAAAACUUUAGUGGUAAAAAUUACGAUAUCAUUCUUUACCAGUUAAGCUAAUGGAUUUUUGAUGUGGUUUCUAAUGUUGAUACUUGAACAGAUUGGUCUGAUGGGAUGGAGACGGGGCACCAAGGCAUUGUAAGGUUGUGCACAAAGGUACACUGAUUUGCCUUGUGGCCUAUCUUUCUCCUAUUAUCUGUCUUCACGUUAUUGUGUCCUUUUGGGGAGAUGUUUUGCGGUAUUCUCAGAGUGACAUGUUCCUGGUCCCUCAUCACCAACACAACCCCUUCAUUGGCGAUUGAAUACCCAGUGCACAUGCUCUGGAAUCAUUCUAAAGUUUCACUGAUCUUUAGGAUCAUAGGCUUUCUUUUAUAUACUUGUUUUGUGUUUUUUUUUUACAUGAAAGGGUUGGGUGAUUAAGUUUACCAAGAUCCUAUUUGGGUUCUGAUUAGUGUUGGACUUGAUCUGUUUUCCUUUUCUCAUCAAACAUGUAUAGCAUGAUAACUAGUGUUUAUUCUUGUAGAAAUAAAGUUUUUAGAUUUUCUCAGAUUUAUAACAGUAAGAUCACUUCUUACUGUUAAAGAUUAAUGAUUAAGCAACUAGCAUUGACAGCCACAUUGUGGAUUGAAAUGGAUCUUCCUUAAAAAGAGUAUCAUUUUUCCUGUGGGCUAUUAUUCUUUGUCAGGCAAAAGAACAAGAAGGCCCCGUCAUUUUUGUCAGCAGUUGUUGCAGAACAGGGAUAACAUUGCAGGCUGCCUCUGUAGAAAUCAAAGAGGUAAAGUGCAGUACCCAAAGCUGUCCAUAUGUUUAUGGACCAUCAUGGGCUUCAUAAUUUUAACAACGCCAAGAGAGAGAGAGAGAGGGGAUGCCCUUUUAAUUGUGUUUGAUUUGUUACUGAAGAUGGAUCUUUUUGACUCAGAAUAUGGACGCUAUAAAUAAUUGAGAUGCUCGUGUGCCGCAGUGGUGGUGGGAUCAUGCCAUAAUUGAGCGCCCAUGUGAACUAUGGACAGCCACCGGCAGGACACUUUCCAGCUUCCACGCUUUGGACUCUUGUGAAAGCAAUGUGUAGAAGGACUGCUGUGUGGUAAGCCAGUCUUAUCUUUUGACGAUUGGGAAUUCUCAUGUUGGACUCCCAUCUCAUCCGAGUCAUUGCUGCCAUAAGAAGACAUUAAUUAUUUCUAGGCUUACAAAAGAAAAAUUCUUUUUGUGUUUCUUCAGCUCUAAAAUUCUCAAAGUACAUAAAAUUUGCUUAUACUUUGAAAUUAAUUAUCUUCAGGUUUCUUGAAGAAAUUAAUUAUUUCUAGGCUUACAAAAGAACAUUUCCUUUUGAGUUUCUUCAGCUCUAAAAUUCUCAAAGUACAUAAAAUUUGCUUAUGCUUUGUUGCUCCAAUUGUGAUAGAAAGAAUGAAUCACAUUGUAAUAAACACCAUGGAAACUGAUACAGCGUUCACCACCCACGUACGGUCAUCAUGCAUACACUACACUCUCCCCCUCCACCAUGCAAAAGAAGGAAGACCGAACGUGAUGAGUCACGGCAGGGAAGGUGAUGAACACGUCGCUCAGCAGAGGAGAUAACCGAAGGCCAGGGCGGCCACCGACGCCAGGGCCGCGGCAGCGGUGGACGACGUGGGGGUGCCGGAGGUGGGGCUGGGGGCGGGUGCCUGCGCCGCCGCGGCCUUCUGCACCAUGGACGCGGCCAUCACGACGGCCAUCAUGGCCAUGGCGAACAACUUGAGCUUGAGAGCUGCCUCCAUUGCUAGUAGCACUUUAAGGCACAACUACCGAGCACAGAGGAAUGGAGGGAGGAGAUGUAGAGAGGAGGCAAUGCAGUUCGGGCCGUGGAAGGAGGGGGAGGGAGAGGAGGGUUUUUGUAAGGAGACUACCAAGCUUGGGUCUGGGACAUGACAGGCUGUUUUCGCUUGUGUCUUCUUCCUCCUCCUCCUCCUCCUCCAUGUGUUUUGUUAGUUGGAACGUCUUAACAUACACGCUGUCGGAAGAGAUUUCCUUGUUUGUGUUCUCUUCCUUCUUUCUUUGUUCGAGGAAGAUGGGUUGUCCAUAGGUUGGUGCCAAAAUCUAGCUGGAAUGACAAUUGCAUGAUCCAAACUUUAGCUGUGCCCAAUCUGUCAAGAGCAACCACCGAUCUUUGAUUGUUUGUUCUUCUUUCUUCUUUAGCUGCUUCACUGUCUUCAAAGAAUUCCAUCAGAAGCUGGAGGAAGACUUUGUCAAUGGAACUCGGUUUCUGGUCACAUUUCUUCUGGAUGAAUUUUGGGAUGCAUGAUCACUCUCGAUAAUAAUUUUAAUGGUGUAAUUCUAUUAGAUUACUUGUUUUUUUAUUUCUUUUCAUCACAG
rnacentral:lncRNA from 1 species